GCCGGUGUGAUGGAAUUGGUAGACAUGAGGGAUUCAAAAUCCCUUGCCAGCAAUGGCGUGGCGGUUCAAGUCCGCCCACCGGUACCA
rnacentral:tRNA from 1 species